rnacentral:misc_RNA from 1 species
CUGGAACGCGCCCCAGGCGACCCAGAAACCCUUUGUGAACUCAUACCUUACUGUUGCCUCGGCGCAGGCCGGCCCCCUCGGGGGCCCCCGGAGACGGGGAGCAGGCCCGCCGGCGGCCAAGUCAACUCUUGUUUUUACACUGAAACUCUGAGGACAAAUAAUAAAUGAAUCAAAACUUUCAACAACGGAUCUCUUGGUUCUGGCAUCGAUGAAGAACGCAGCGAAAUGCGAUAAGUAAUGUGAAUUGCAGAAUUCAGUGAAUCAUCGAAUCUUUGAACGCACAUUGCGCCCUCUGGUAUUCCGGAGGGCAUGCCUGUUCGAGCGUCAUUUCAACCCUCAAGCCUGGCUUGGUGAUGGGGCACUGCUUUCUCACGGGAGCAGGCCCUGAAAUUCAGUGGCGAGCUCGCCAGGACCCCGAGCGCAGUAGUUAAACCCUCGCUCUGGAAGGCCCUGGCGGUGCCCUGCCGUUAAACCCCCAACUCUUGAAAAU